rnacentral:tRNA from 1 species
UUUGGUUUAACAUAUAUUAAUGUGAAAGAUUGUAAAUCUUUUUAUAGUAGUACGUCAAAAUUU